rnacentral:rRNA from 1 species
GACGAACGCUGGCGGCGUGCUUAACACAUGCAAGUCGAACGGAAAGGCCCUGCUUUUGUGGGGUGCUCGAGUGGCGAACGGGUGAGUAACACGUGAGUAACCUGCCCUUGACUUUGGGAUAACUUCAGGAAACUGGGGCUAAUACCGGAUAGGAGCUCCUGCUGCAUGGUGGGGGUUGGAAAGUUUCGGCGGUUGGGGAUGGACUCGCGGCUUAUCAGCUUGUUGGUGGGGUAGUGGCUUACCAAGGCUUUGACGGGUAGCCGGCCUGAGAGGGUGACCGGCCACAUUGGGACUGAGAUACGGCCCAGACUCCUACGGGAGGCAGCAGUGGGGAAUAUUGCACAAUGGGCUGAAGCCUGAUGCAGCAGCGCCGCGUGCGGGAUGACGGCCUUCGGGUUGUAAACCGCUUUCGCCUGUGACGAAGCGUGAGUGACGGUAAUGGGUAAAGAAGCACCGGCUAACUACGUG